rnacentral:rRNA from 1 species
CUAAAGCUAAAUACCGGCCAGAGACCGAUAGCGCACAAGUAGAGUGAUCGAAAGAUGAAAAGCACUUUGAAAAGAGGGUUAAACAGCACGUGAAAUUGUUAAAAGGGAAGCGCUUGUGACCAGACUUGCGUCCGGUGAAUCACCCAGCUCUCGCGGCUGGGGCACUUCGCCGGCUCAGGCCAGCAUCAGCUCGCUGUCGGGGACAAAAGCUUCAGGAACGUAGCUCUCUUCGGGGAGUGUUAUAGCCUGCUGCAUAAUACCCUUAGGCGGGCUGAGGUACGCGCUCCGCAAGGAUGCUGGCAUAAUGGUCAUCAGCGACCCGUCU